rnacentral:snoRNA from 1 species
UCUCAGGGAUGAAUAAAUUACGAUGAUGAGUCCGAUUAAAAUCCAUUCAAUUAAAAAUCGUGACAACAAAUCGAGGCAUUUGUUUGAGACGA